rnacentral:rRNA from 1 species
GACGAACCGUGCGAACGUUGUUCGGAAUCACUGGGCUUAAAGGGCGCGUAGGCGGCUCGCGAGGUCGGGGGUGAAAUCCCGCAGCUUAACUGCGGAAGGGCCUCCGAUACCGGCGGGCUGGAGGAAGGUAGGGGUGCGCGGAACUUCUGGUGGAGCGGUGAAAUGCGUUGAUAUCAGAAGGAACGCCGGCGGCGAAAGCGGCGCGCUGGACCUUUUCUGACGCUGAGGCGCGAAAGCUAGGGGAGCAAACGGG